UACGAAGGGGGCUAGCGUUGCUCGGAAUCACUGGGCGUAAAGCGCACGUAGGCGGAUUGUUAAGUCAGGGGGUGAAAUCCUGGAGCUCAACUCCAGAACUGCCUUUGAUACUGGCGAUCUUGAGUCCGGGAGAGGUGAGUGGAACUGCGAGUGUAGAGGUGAAAUUCGUAGAUAUUCGCAAGAACACCAGUGGCGAAGGCGGCUCACUGGCCCGGUACUGACGCUGAGGUGCGAAAGCGUGGGGAGCAAACAGGAGUU
rnacentral:rRNA from 1 species